GGUGGGAUACUACCCUGGCUGUAUUGAAAUUCUAACCCGCACCCCUGAUCGGGGUGGGAGACAGUGUCAGGUGGGCAGUUUGACUGGGGCGGUCGCCUCCUAAAAAGUAACGGAGGCGCCCAAAGGUUCCCUCAGAAUGGUUGGAAAUCAUUCGAAGAGUGUAAAGGCAUAAGGGAGCUUGACUGCGAGACCUACAAGUCGAGCAGGGACGAAAGUCGGGCUUAGUGAUCCGGUGGUUCCGCAUGGAAGGGCCAUCGCUCAACGGAUAAAAGCUACCCCGGGGAUAACAGGCUUAUCUCCCCCAAGAGUCCACAUCGACGGGGAGGUUUGGCACCUCGAUGUCGGCUCAUCGCAUCCUGGGGCUGUAGUCGGUCCCAAGGGUUGGGCUGUUCGCCCAUUAAAGCGGUACGCGAGCUGGGUUCAGAACGUCGUGAGACAGUUCGGUCCCUAUCCGUCGUGGGCGCAGGAAAUUUGAGAGGAGCUGUCCUUAGUACGAGAGGACCGGGAUGGACGCACCGCUGGUGUACCAGUUGUUCUGCCAAGAGCAUCGCUGGGUAGCUAUGUGCGGAAGGGAUAAGUGCUGAAAGCAUCUAAGCAUGAAGCCCCCCUCGAGAUGAGAUUUCCCAUAGCGUCAAGCUAGUAAGACCCCUGAAAGAUGAUCAGGUUGAUAGGUUUGAGGUGGAAGCGUGGUGACACGUGGAGCUGACAAAUACUAAUCGGUCGAGGACUUAACCAA
rnacentral:rRNA from 1 species